CUGCACAUCGCGGGUUUUAUUGCUCUUUGCGAGCUAUUCCUGGGCUGUGAGGCCCACUUUGAUUUAUGGAGAAAGCUAUUCUGCCUCGUCCCUCGCACCCAAGAGGGAUCGGUAUUCGAGGUGGGCGGCGCUGAGGUAUGGCGCAUAGCCAGAACCGGAUACCUAUCCGGCACACCGAAGAAGGCAUCCGAAGAGUGGCCCUCAGAGUGGUUCUAUAUUGAGGACGUCGCUCUCCAUGACCCAAUCCGAAUGGGUCUUCCCGAAUUUUCCAGCACUCCAUUGAAGAAACGCCACAGCUGGCACCCUCGAAGCCUCGAGGAGGAAGAUAGCACGGAAGUCCGUCAAUUAAUGGGCAAGAUAAGGACACUCGCCCAGUCCGGGCUAACAAUAGUCGAGGUAAUGGCCACUUCCAUAGCGUGA
rnacentral:rRNA from 1 species